rnacentral:rRNA from 1 species
GAUGAACGCUAGCUACAGGCUUAACACAUGCAAGUCGAGGGGAAACGAUAGAGAAAGCUUGCUUUUUCUAGGCGUCGACCGGCGCACGGGUGAGUAACGCGUAUCCAACCUGCCCCAUCACUUGGGGGAUAACCUUCGCGAAAGUAAGACUAAUACCCAAUGACGUCUCUAGAAGACAUCUGAAAGAGAUUAAAGAUUUAUCGGUGAUGGAUGGGGGAUGCGUCUGAUUAGCUUGUUGGCGGGGUAACGCCCACCAAGGCGACGAUCAGUAGGGGUUCUGAGAGGAAGGUCCCCCACAUUGGAACUGAGACACGGUCCAAAACUCCUACGGGAGGCAGCAGUGAGG